AAAUCUAAAUCCCAACUUGCAGCCCGUCAUUUUAAUUCCAUCUCCCUCUCCAUGCUCUCACGUUCUCUCACCUCCCCACUUCCGCUCUCGUGAUCUCUCACCCUCCCCACUUCUGCUCUCAACUAGCGGUGGCGAUGAUGACGACGAGGAGAUCCAGUCUCAACACCGGCGGUGGAGGCGGCGGCGGCGACGACGACGAUGACAAGAUUCACCUGCAAGCCCUAAUUUCACCUCCGGCGACGACGGCGAUCAUCGAAAACGGUAAUUCAAGAACUCGCAAAACAAGACCUUCUGAACUGAGGGGAGGAAACUACAAAAGAAAUACAAAGUGAAAGUGUGUAAGCAUUAGAAAGAAACUCUCAUUUGAAUCAAAUGUAAAAGUCUUAAAGAAACUAGUGCGAGAGCAACUUAAGCAUAACACUAUGUAACGGCGAAAUAUUAACUUCUAUUGGUUUGUAUUUGUUGGAUAUUUUGGAUCUCUAGUUUGUUGAAAUGUUAUAUGUAAUAUUUAAAGUUUCUACUUUAUUUAUUGUUUUGGUUA